AUUGAACGCUGGCGGCAGGCUUAACACAUGCAAGUCGAGCGGGGGAGGUUGCUUCGGUAACUGACCUAGCGGCGGACGGGUGAGUAAUGCUUAGGAAUCUGCCUAUUAGUGGGGGACAACAUUCCGAAAGGGAUGCUAAUACCGCAUACGCCCUACGGGGGAAAGCAGGGGAUCUUCGGACCUUGCGCUAAUAGAUGAGCCUAAGUCGGAUUAGCUAGUUGGUGGGGUAAAGGCCUACCAAGGCGACGAUCUGUAGCGGGUCUGAGGGGAUGAUCCGCCACACUGGGACUGGAACACGGCCCAGACUCCUACGGGAGGCAGCAGUGGGGAAUAUUGGACAAUGGGCGGAAGCCUGAUCCAGCCAUGCCGCGUGUGUGAAGAAGGCCUUAUGGUUGUAAAGCACUUUAAGCGAGGAGGAGGCUACUGAGACUAAUACUCUUGGAUAGUGGACGUUACUCGCAGAAUAAGCACCGGCUAACUCUGUGCCAGCCGCCGCGGUAACAC
rnacentral:rRNA from 1 species